AUUGAACGCUGGCGGCAUGCUUUACACAUGCAAGUCGAACGGUAACAGCGAGCUUGCUCCGCUGACGAGUGGCGAACGGGUGAGUAAUGCGUCGGAACGUGCCGAGUCGUGGGGGAUAACGCAGCGAUAGUUGUGCUAAUACCGCAUACGUACUGGGGUAGAAAGUGGGGGACCUUCGGGCCUCACGCUAUUCGAGCGGCCGACGUCUGAUUAGCUAGUAGGUGGGGUAAAGGCUCACCUAGGCGACGAUCAGUAGCGGGUCUGAGAGGAUGAUCCUCCACACUGGGACUGAGACACGUCCUAGACUCCUACGGGAGGCAGCAGUGGUGAUGAUUGGACAAUGGGCGAAAGCCUGAUCCAGCCAUGCCGCGUGUGUGAAGAAGGUCAUCGGAUGGUAAAGCACUUUAAGUUGGGAGGAAGGGCAGUCAGCGAAUACCUGGUUGUUUUGACGUUACCGACAGAAUAAGCACCGGCUAACUCUGUGCCAGCAGCCGCGGUAAGAC
rnacentral:rRNA from 1 species